GAGGGCAUAGCUCAAUGGUAGAGUGCAUGCUUAGCAUGCAGGAGGUGCUGGGUUCAUGCCCCAGUACUCCCU
rnacentral:tRNA from 1 species